rnacentral:rRNA from 1 species
UGGGGAAUAUUGGACAAUGGGGGAAACCCUGAUCCAGCGACGCCGCGUGAGUGAAGAAGUAUUUCGGUAUGUAAAGCUCUAUCAGCAGGGAAGAAAAUGACGGUACCUGACUAAGAAGCCCCGGCUAACUACGUGCCAGCAGCCGCGGUAAUACGUAGGGGGCAAGCGUUAUCCGGAUUUACUGGGUGUAAAGGGAGCGUAGACGGCACUGCAAGUCUGGAGUGAAAGCCCGGGGCUCAACCCCGGGACUGCUUUGGAAACUGUGGUGCUGGAGUGCAGGAGAGGUUAGUGGAAUUCCUAGUGUCGCGGUGAAAUGCGGAGAUAUUAGGAGGAACACCAGUGGCGAAGGCGACUUACUGGACUGUAACUGACGCUGAGGCAUGAAAGCGUGGGGAGCAAACA